AAUAAAUGCAGCCAUAGAUAUCCGUGUUUAGCACUUUGACCAUCCGUCUUAUUUGAAAAAUUUAUUAAAAAUAUUAAAAAAAUUAGUCACACAUAAAGUACUAUUCAUGUUUUAUCAUUUAAUAACAAUAAAAAUACUAAUCAUAAUCUUUUUUCAAAUAAGACGAACGGUCAAACGUUGAACAUGAACAGUGCUAAAACUGCACUUAUU
rnacentral:pre_miRNA from 1 species